rnacentral:rRNA from 1 species
CCCUGCCCACUGAGUUUUAUAGGGCCGCGGUAUUUUGACCGUGCGAAGGUAGCAUAAUCAAUAGUCUUUUAAUUGAAGGCUGGUAUGAAUGGUUGAAUGAGAUAUAUACUGUUUUUUUAAAAUUUAUAUAGAACUUUAUUUUUUAGUUAAAAAGCUAAAAUUUAAUUAAAAGACGAGAAGACCCUAUAGAUCUUUAUUUUUAUAAAUUAUAAAUUAUAAAGAAUUUUAAAAUUUAUAUUUUAAAUAAAAUUUUACUGGGGUGGUAUUAAAAUUAAAUAAACUUUUAUUAUUUAUUUACAUUGAUUUAUGAAUAAAAGAUCCUGUUUUAUGGAUUAAAAAUUUAAGUUACCUUAGGGAUAACAGCGUAAUUUUUUUAGAGAGUUCAUAUCGAUAAAAAAGAUUGCGACCUCGAUGUUGGAUUAAGAGUUAUUUUUAGGUGUAGAAGUUUAAAGUUUAGGUCUGUUCGACCUUUGAAUUCUUACAUGAUCUGAGUUCAAACCGGAGAAGAG